GUGUUCUWARCGGCCCUCAUCCGCGAGGGUGGGGAAUCAACCGUAGGAUCGUUUACUUWGAGGAAAUUAGRGUGUUCAAAGCAGGSGUAACUCGCCUCCGAAUACGUUAGCAUGGGAUAAUGGAAUACGACUUCGGUCUUGUUUCGUUGGUUUCGCUUGGCUGAAGUAAUGAUUGAUAGGGACAGUUGGGGGCAUUAGUAUUUAGUUGUCAGAGGUGAAAUUCUAGGAUUUACUAAAGACUGACCAAUGCGAAAGCAUUUGCCAAGGAUGUUUUCAUUAAUCAAGAACGAAAGUAGGGGGAUCGAAGACGAUCAGAUACCGUCGUAGUCUCUACCGUAAACUAUGCCGACCAGGGAUCCGGAGAGUUUGCAUGGAUGACUCCCCGGGCACCUUGUGAGAAAUCAUAAGUGUUUGGGUUUUGGGGGGAGUAUGGUCGCAAGGCUGAAACUAAAGGAAUGACGGAAGGCUCCACGGGGC
rnacentral:rRNA from 1 species